rnacentral:rRNA from 1 species
GAUCCUGGCUUAGGAUGAACGCUAGCUACAGGCUUAACACAUGCAAGUCGAGGGGCAGCAUGGACCCAGCUUUGCUGGGUUUGAUGGCGACCGGCGCACGGGUGAGUAACGCGUAUCCAACCUGCCCUUUACUCCGGGAUAGUCUCCUGAAAGGGAGUUUAAUACCGGAUGUGUUUGUCUUUCCGCAUGGGAGCGACAAAUAAAGAUUAAUUGGUAAAGGAUGGGGAUGCGUCCCAUUAGCUUGUUGGCGGGGUAACGG